rnacentral:rRNA from 1 species
CCGCGUGAAGGAAGACGGCCCUAAGGGUUGUAAACUUCUUUUGUACUUGGGUAAAAUUUGUUACGUGUAAUAAAUUGAAAGUAAAGUACGAAUAAGGAUCGGCUAACUCCGUGC